GACACGACUCUCGGCAAUGGAUAUCUCGGCUCUCGCAUCGAUGAAGAGCGCAGCGAAAUGCGAUAUGUGGUGCGAAUUGCAGAAUCCCGCGAACCAUCGAGUCUUUGAACGCAAGUUGCGCCCGAGGCCAACCGGCCAAGGGCACGUCCGCCUGGGCGUCAAGC
rnacentral:rRNA from 1 species